rnacentral:misc_RNA from 1 species
AACGCACCUUGCACCCUUUGGUAUUCCGAAGGGUAUGCUCGUUUGAGUGUCAUUGUACUCUCACUCUCUCUGAUCCUUUGGAUUCAGGGAGUGGUGGACUUGGGUGUUUGCUGCUUCCUUGUGGCUCACCUCAAAUGCGUCAGUGCACCUCUUGAUUGGACAUAGUACGGCGUGAUAAGUAUCUUCGCCGGCACCUCGCAAGAGGGUGGCCGAUUGGGAGCUCUGUGCUUUCAAACCGUCUUCGGACAAUUUCUGACAACUUGACCUCAAAUCGAGUAGGACUACCCGCUGAACUUAA